rnacentral:misc_RNA from 1 species
UCUCCGUUGGUGAACCAGCGGAGGGAUCAUUACAGAGUUUUCACAACUCCCAACCCUUGCGAACCGUACCCAUUCUGUUCUCGUUGCUUCCGGCGGGGGGGACGGGGGGGCCCGAAACGGCCUCCCCGCCCCGCCCGCCGGGGGCGGCGGGCCCUACGAACCUUUAUGUCUCAACCACCAGAAACCGUCUGAGAAAACAAACAAAAUAAUCAAAACUUUCAACAACGGAUCUCUUGGCUCUG